UAAGCCGUCCCCUUGCUAAUUGUCUACAGAUCUGACCACCUUGAGGAGGUCACAAGCAGAGGAGAGACCAAAUCCGUCACCAAUGGAACGGGCCAUUAACCUUUCAAAGACGCCAGAGAGGCAGGGACCAAGAGAAUGCACAACAUUCCUUUUUUUAAACUUUCAGUAAUACCAAAAAAAAAAAAAAAACAAGCAUUUUAUACUGCCAGGAAGAUCUAUGCGAGUAGACACAGUAUAAAAGCGAGAAAAA